GAUGAACGCUAGCUACAGGCUUAACACAUGCAAGUCGAGGGGCAUCAGGAAGAAAGCUUGCUUUCUUUGCUGGCGACCGGCGCACGGGUGAGUAACACGUAUCCAACCUGCCCUUUACUCGGGGAUAGCCUUUCGAAAGAAAGAUUAAUACCCGAUAGCAUAAUGAUUCCGCAUGGUUUCAUUAUUAAAGGAUUCCGGUAAAGGAUGGGGAUGCGUUCCAUUAGGUUGUUGGUGAGGUAACGGCCCACCAAGCCUUCGAUGGAUAGGGGUUCUGAGAGGAAGGUCCCCCACAUUGGAACUGAGACACGGUCCAAACUCCUACGGGAGGCAGCAGUGAGGAAUAUUGGUCAAUGGCGUUAGCCUGAACCAGCCAAGUAGCGUGAAGGAUGAAGGCUCUAUGGGUCGUAAACUUCUUUUAUAUAAGAAUAAAGUGCAGUAUGUAUACUGUUUUGUAUGUAUUAUAUGAAUAAGGAUCGGCUAACUCCGUGCCAGCAGCCGCGGUAAUACGGAGGAUCCGAGCGUUAUCCGGAUUUAUUGGGUUUAAAGGGAGCGUAGGUGGACUGGUAAGUCAGUUGUGAAAGUUUGCGGCUCAACCGUAAAAUUGCAGUUGAUACUGUCAGUCUUGAGUACAGUAGAGGUGGGCGGAAUUCGUGGUGUAGCGGUGAAAUGCUUAGAUAUCACGAAGAACUCCGAUUGCGAAGGCAGCUCACUGGACUGCAACUGACACUGAUGCUCGAAAGUGUGGGUAUCAAACAGG
rnacentral:rRNA from 1 species